rfam:Rhinocladiella mackenziei CBS 650.93 unplaced genomic scaffold supercont1.9, whole genome shotgun sequence.
GCAAUCGGCCAUAGGGUAAGGAAAGCAGCACUCCCCGUUCGCUCAGUGGUACUUAAGCCUUACGCCGGUCAGUUAGUACUAAAGUGGGUGACCAUUUGGGAAUCCUGACUGCUGAUUGUU